UACCGCGGUUAUACGAGAGGCCCGAGUUGAUAGGCACCGGCGUAAAGGGUGGUUAAGGAAAUUUAAUACUAAAGCCGAAUAUCCUCAAGGCUGUUCAAUUUUUAACGUUUCCGAGGAUAAGAAGCCCCACUACGAAAGUGGCUUUAUUAAACCUGACCCCACGAAAGCUGCGAAA
rnacentral:rRNA from 1 species